GGAUGUGAAAUNCCCGGGCUCAACCUGGGAACUGCGUUNUGAACUGGGUGACUAGAGUGUGUCAGAGGGAGGUAGAAUUCCACGUGUAGCAGUGAAAUGCGUAGAGAUGUGGAGGAAUACCGAUGGCGAAGGCAGCNUCCUGGGAUAACACUGACGUUCAUGCUNGAAAGCGUGGGUAGCAAACAGGAUUAGAUACCCUGGUAGUCCACGCCCUAAACGAUGUCAAUUAGCUGUUGGGCAACUCGAUUGCUUAGUAGCGUAGCUAACGCGUGAAAUUGACCGCCUGGGGAGUACGGUCGCAAGAUUAAAACUCAAAGGAAUUGACGGGGACCCGCACAAGCGGUGGAUGAUGUGGAUUAAUUCGAUGCAACGCGAAGAACCUUACCUGGUCUUGACAUGUACGGAAUCCUCCAGAGACGGAGGAGUGCCUUCGGGAGCCGUAACACAGGUGCUGCAUGGCUGUCGUCAGCUCGUGUCGUGAGAUGUUGGGUUAAGUCCCGCAACGAGCGCAACCCUUGUCAUUAGUUGCCAUCAUUUAGUUGGGCACUCUAAUGAGACUGCCGGUGACAAGCCGGAGGAAGGUGGGGAUGACGUCAAGUCCUCAUGGCCCUUAUGACCAGGGCUUCACACGUCAUACAAUGGUCGGUACAGAGAGUAGCCAAGCCGCGAGGUGGAGCCAAUCUCACAAAACCGAUCGUAGUCCGGAUUGCACUCUGCAACUCGAGUGCAUGAAGUCGGAAUCGCUAGUAAUCGCAGGUCAGCAUACUGCGGUGAAUACGUUCCCGGGUCUUGUACACACCGCCCGUCACACCAUGGGAGUGGGGGAUACCAGAAGUAGGUAGGGUAACCGCAAGGAGCCCGC
rnacentral:rRNA from 1 species